GGUGUGGCUUCAGGAGCAUGGAAUCAGAAAGAGGGAAGCUUGAGGCAUGGCCAGUCCGGAUUGAAAACUCUUGAUUCUGUGGGUGAUGGUGCAUGACCGUUCUUAGUUGGUGGAGCAAUUUGUCUAGUUAAUUCCGAUAAUGAAUGAGUUACCCAACCCCCAAUUAGUCAGCAUCCCCCAACUUCUUAGAGGGACAAGUUGUGUUCAGCUACCUGAGAUUGAGCAGUAACAGGUCUGUGAUGCCCUUAGAUGUCUGGGGCUGCACUUGUGCUACACUGACUGGCUCAGUGUGUGCCUACCCUAUGCUGGCAGGCAAGGGUAACCCAUUGAACCCCAUUCAUAAUGGGGGUUGGGGAUUGCAAUUAUUCCCCAUGAACAAGGAAUUCCCGGUAAGUGUGGGUCAUAAGCUUGCUUU
rnacentral:ncRNA from 1 species